AGGAAACAAUAGUCUGUCCUCCUUCAGGUCCACCUGGUACACUUGAAUCUGUUGGUGGGAAUAAACUUUAUUAAACCCUAGGAAAAAGAUAUGUUCACAUCCUAAGUAAAGUAUUGUAUGUCCAGUGACUUAGAAGAAUGUUGGGUAGCCAACACAGUUACUAACCCCAAUUACCUUUGCAAAGCUAAUGUCACUCUUGUAUAAAUAUGUGUACUGGUUAGUGUUAUGCUUUUUUUUCUUUUCAUCAUCUAAACCUUCUUAUACAAAGUAUCUUUUUAAAUAAAAUAAUUUCCACUAUCAACUUUCAUGCUUAAUACUAUGCUUUACUGUUACAAUAUAACAUUGCCAACCUUAAUAAACUGUGUGAGAUGUGACAUUUUACAUACAAUCAAGUUUUUAAAAAAUAAACAAGAUUUUGAAUAAACCCAAAACAAUAUCCCAACACUCAAGAAAUUUUUCAGUUUCUAGCUGUAUAAACAAUACAAAUUUACUAAUACUUUGUAUUUUUUCUUGUUGCUUUUAAUAAAUGAAAUAAAUGUUUUUCUUUUAACAGUACCAAAAA